rnacentral:lncRNA from 1 species
AUGUUGUGUUUAUUCAAUAUCAAUAAUAUAUUUGCAAUCUGUUCAGUGGAAACAGUAAAACAGUACAUUUAAAGUUUUGUUAACAGUUAAUUUAUAACUAUGACCAUAUCAAUGAUACUGCAUGUCAACACAGAGGUGCUAACUACUAGGCUGAAGAUACCCUCCAUGAGAAACCUCCACCAGUAGUAGCAUCGACAAGUAAUUGUUAAUAAACUCAUCAUAGAUACCAGGAUUGAAAUUGUUUACACCACUCAACCCAGCCCAGCCCAGACACAAAAUUCCGAAAUAAGUGUCAACAUUGUAAUUUGUCAUAUAAUUUAAAAGUUCACCUCACGAUGAAAAAAUGUUAUAUACAAGUUUGAAGUUGGUGUGACCAAAACAUCAUGAUAAACUAUAUUAAUCAAAAGCUUUAACCUGAGAUUUUACUAAUCAAUAUUAUAACGUUUCUGUGAUCAAUGAACCGUGUAAUUUGGGGCAUAACCGUAAUCUGCCAAAUAAUAUAAACAUACACAUAACAAUAUGAGCAACUGUCUAACAUUUCUAGUUGAUGUGACCACUUUUUCAUGAUAAACUAUGGGCAUCGGUGGCCGAGUGGUCUAAGUAGUCGAAAUACUGUGUCACUAGCCUGUCAAUACUGAGUUCUGAGUUCAAAUCCCGAACGUAGCAGGUGAUCUCGACUCCCAUCUAAACUAGGAAUGUUAGUUUUCCUACCGAAGGGACAUAAAAAUGAAUGUUACAAUAAUAUCAAGCUCGUUAUUAUUUCAGAGAGCAAUUGUUCUCCUCUUAUAUUUAAUGCGUUUCCCUCGGUUUUAGUUUGUUACCC